ensembl:lincRNA
GCUGACCUCAGAGCAGGGAGGAUCUUGCUGGCUUUGCUCCAUCUACCCCCAUGGGGGGCACAGGUUCAGCUCACGGGGUGGCAGCUUCUGAACCACUCACUUACAACGCUCCUGAAUACCACUAACUAAUAAGCCAGGCACCCGGCUUACACUGGUGCACGACAUUCCUCAUGCAGAAGACCCGCUUUUUGAACUGCUCUUUGCUACCCAGCAUUUACUUUUCUCGCUCCUCUAAUCAUCCUGGGUCAAGGACCUAAGCAGAGUUAUUCCUCUAGACAUAAAGUUAGAAAACUGGUGAGUGGUACUGGGACUCACCAGAUGACAGAGCGCACACAUGAGUCUGGGCACGGCUCAGAGGGCAUCUCCAAGCCCCAGAUCAGGGUUCCAGUUAUUAGAUCUACCUUCAGCUUGUUCUCUCCUGAAUUUUCUAUCUUCAUAUUUUCCAAAACAUUUUCUCCAUUCUGUGUUACAAACAACAUUUAAAUGUUCGAAUAAUUGAGAAAUUGUUUUCCAUUUUUGCUUGUACAUCUGAUGUACAUCUGGAUGGGUGGCACUGGGCACACUUAAAAUAAAGGGAAAUAAAUAGCUCUGAGAUGCAACAGCAGAUGCAUUUGCUCAAAAGCGAACGGCAAAGAUCUGCACUUCAUUUUUACAGUAUUUCAUCAGACAUAUGGUACGCCAGGCUAGGUGAUUUUUAUUUAAAAAGUCACUUGUGCUGAAUUCAGAAUUUAAAGGCAUACACAGACAGUCAUUCUGCUCCCCGUGGGCACAAGGGCAUUCUUAUUCCUGGGGAUGUCAUUACUGAUGAUCGCAAGGCGAACUGAAGUUUUCAGAGGGAGUGCCAGUUUCCAACGUGAAGCUCAGCCAUGCGAGGAGAAAACCAGAGGUUCCAGCUGUCUCCGUUUAAGGCUCAAUCCUCAAAGCUUCGGGCUGCAGGUCUCAGAUGAGUGUGCUUGCCUGCGGGGCUGCAGAAGUAUCCGCAGGAAAGAACCAAGGAGACGGGGGUGUGAUGGAGACUUCCCCACACAGACCAGAGAUGACCUGGGCUUUGUCCCGCUGGGAGCCUGUGAGGCCGGGAGCAGACAGUGCGGGAGAGCACAGUGCCUGUGCCUGCACUUAACUUCUUUUUUUUUUCCAAAAGUUUAUUUUUAUUUGUACGUGUUCACAGGACACGGUGGUUACACCUACCGUGGGGAGGUGGUGCACGUUCACAGCACAGCGUGGUUCAUUUUCACCCCCUAAAACUCCCCUUCCUCCCUCCACCUCUUGGUCUGCUUCCCAUUUAUAAAAGCUCUAUCUCCAUUUUUUCAGUUCUUUUCUUCUUUCGUCACUUUUCUCUCCACUCACUCCCUCUUCCCUCCAUCUCUUGUUCCCCUUUCCACUUGAAAAAGAUCUUCCUACUUCCUGGGAAAAAAGAGAGAUAGGAAGAGUGAAGAAAGGAGGAAGCGGGAAAUUUGUUUAGUUUAAAACUCUUUAGCAGAUACUCCACAACACCUCGUGUAUGAUUAAGCACAUACACACAGUAUGUCUGUACAGAUGUCUGUACACAGACCACACAGGCUGCCGUCCCCUCUCAGAGGAUAUAAUGCCCUAAGGUGCUCUCUCUCUCGCUCUCUCUCUCCCGCCUCCGCUCAUCGUGUGUGUGUGUGUGUGUGUGUGUGUGUGUGUGUUUGUGUGUGUGUGUGUGUGUGUGUGUGUGUCACUGAGGACUGAACCCAGGACCUUCACACUGAACUACCUUCCCAGUCCUGUUUUAUUUUUUAUCUGGAGACAGGAUCUUUCUAAAUCAGUUGCCCAAGCAGGACUCAAAUGGCGUCUUCCUACCUUGGCCUCCCAGGGUUUUUGAUAGGAAUUUUGAGAGGGUUCAAUUUUUGCCUCACGUACUGACUUUAGGACCAAAUCUGCA